rnacentral:misc_RNA from 1 species
UUGUUAUGUUUAAUAUGUUUCACGUUCUUUACACAAUGUUUUGUAAUGGGCCCGAGGGCCAACAGUUCACAGAGGUAUGAAGGAUGAGAUAAGGCCUUUCGGCCAAUCAUUAAUGAUCCUUCCGCAGGUUCACCUACGGAAA